rnacentral:rRNA from 1 species
CAACUUUCAGCAACGGAUCUCUUGGCUCUCGCAUCGAUGAAGAACGCAGCGAAAUGCGAUAAGUAAUGUGAAUUGCAGAAUUCAGUGAAUCAUAGAAUCUUUGAACGCACCUUGCGCUCCUUGGUAUUCCGAGGAGCAUGCCUGUUUGAGUGUCAUU